GAACGAACGCUGGCGGCGUGCUUAAUACAUGCAAGUCGAACGUGAUUCCCGACUUCGGUUGGGAUGAAAGUGGCGAACGGGUGAGUAACACGUAAGUAAUCUGCCUUCAAGUUUGGGAUAACCCUGCCAACGCGGGGCUAAUACCGGAUGUGGUCCAGCAGACCCAUGUUUGCGGGAUUAAAGGUCGCGAGACCGCUUGGAGAUGAGCUUGCGGCCCAUUAGCUAGUUGGUGAGGUAACGGCCCACCAAGGCAGGGAUGGGUAGCCGGCCUGAGAGGACGACCAGCCACACUGGAACUGAGACACGGUCCAGACUCCUACGGGGGGCAGCAGUGGGGGAUCUUGCACAAUGGGCGAAAGCCUGAUGCAGCGACGCCGCGUGAGCGAAGAAGGCCUUCGGGUUGUAAAGCUCUGUCUGGAGGGACGAACAAAAUGACGGUACCUCCGGAGGAAGCCACGGCUAACUACGUG
rnacentral:rRNA from 1 species